rnacentral:sRNA from 1 species
AAUGAAUGCCGGCAUGUAGAGUAGUCCCACAAAUAAAAUAAAAAACAACAAUAGAACUACCAUUUCUUCUCUUGCCGCCUAAUGCCCAAUAAACACAUGUACACACCAAUGGUUUCUUCGUUCUCAGUCCCACAAGUAAAACAACAAUUCCACUACUUUCUUCCCUUCAUUCUUAUCAUCCACAAGCAAGCUAUUUCAGUUUAUAGAAAGGGGAAUUUCUACUUUGUCAGACAUUCGUUAGUGAUUUUUCAUUUCAGUGUAUAAACACUUUUACAUGUUUGCUCUUUCUCACCUUAAAUCUCAUUCAGUUACGGUUUCUUUGAGCUCAUAACAUUGUGUUUAAUGGCUGAAAAUUUAAGACUAUACUUCACAGGAUCAUUUCUGUAGUCAGUCUUCAAUUACUUUCAUUGCAAAAUGAAAAAUCACACACCUGCGAUGAGGAGGCAUAUCGUUCUAUCUGUAGCGUGAGGUUUUGAACUUUGUCUUUUAUUUUACCCCUACCUUCGGGUACGGGUAAUUGGGACAAUGUUUCUUCGAUGAUCGCUCGAUUAAACAGAUAAAGCGACUUCUGAGUGGUGUCAAAACUUUUUAUGUGAAUCAAUUUGAUAAUAAGGAGGAAAAAGAGGGCUAGCUGGAUUUAAACAAAAAAAAUCCAAACUUUGGUAAAAAGCUAAUCACACAAUAAAGACAAAUAUACAAUAGAA